rnacentral:rRNA from 1 species
CGUAUCACCCAAGACAACUUUACGGAGUUGACGAUUGACGGAGCGAAGCGACGUCAAAGCGUUCAUUAAAGUCGAGUUGGCUUAGGGAUACGUUCGUUGGGUAGGGGAGCGUUCUGUAAGCCUGUGAAGGUGGCCUGUGAGGGUUGCUGGAGGUAUCAGAAGUGCGAAUGCUGACAUAAGUAACGAUAAAGCGGGUGAAAAGCCCGCUCGCCGGAAGACCAAGGGUUCCUGUCCAACGUUAAUCGGGGCAGGGUGAGUCGACCCCUAAGGCGAGGCCGAAAGGCGUAGUCGAUGGGAAACGGGUUAAUAUUCCCGUACUUGGUGUUACUGCGAAGGGGGGACGGAGAAGGCUAUGUUGGCCGGGCGACGGUUGUCCCGGUUUAAGCGUGUAGGUGUGUGUUCCAGGUAAAUCCGGUUCACUUUAACACUGAGGCGUGACGACGAGGCACUACGGUGCUGAAGCAACAAAUGCCCUGCUUCCAGGAAAAGCCUCUAAGCAUCAGGUAACAUCAAAUCGUACCCCAAACCGACACAGGUGGUCAGGUAGAGAAUACCAAGGCGCUUGAGAGAACUCGGGUGAAGGAACUAGGCAAAAUGGUGCCGUAACUUCGGGAGAAGGCACGCUGACACGUAGGUGAAGUGAUUUACUCAUGGAGCUGAAGUCAGUCGAAGAUACCAGCUGGCUGCAACUGUUUAUUAAAAACACAGCACUGUGCAAACACGAAAGUGGACGUAUACGGUGUGACGCCUGCCCGGUGCCGGAAGGUUAAUUGAUGGGGUCAGCGCAAGCGAAGCUCCUGAUCGAAGCCCCGGUAAACGGCGGCCGUAACUAUAACGGUCCUAAGGUAGCGAAAUUCCUUGUCGGGUAAGUUCCGACCUGCACGAAUGGCGUAAUGAUGGCCAGGCUGUCUCCACCCGAGACUCAGUGAAAUUGAACUCGCUGUGAAGAUGCAGUGUACCCGCGGCAAGACGGAAAGACCCCGUGAACCUUUACUAUAGCUUGACACUGAACAUUGAGCCUUGAUGUGUAGGAUAGGUGGGAGGCUUUGAAGUGU